rnacentral:rRNA from 1 species
CGGCGGAUGGGUGAGUAACACGUGGGGAAACCUGCCCCUAAGUCUGGGAUACCAUUUGGAAACAGGUGCUAAUACCGGAUAAUAAAGCAGAUCGCAUGAUCAGCUUUUGAAAGGCGGCGUAAGCUGUCGCUAAGGGAUGGCCCCGCGGUGCAUUAGCUAGUUGGUAAGGUAACGGCUUACCAAGGCGACGAUGCAUAGCCGAGUUGAGAGACUGAUCGGCCACAUUGGGACUGAGACACGGCCCAAACUCCUACGGGAGGCAGCAGUAGGGAAUCUUCCACAAUGGACGCAAGUCUGAUGGAGCAACGCCGCGUGAGUGAAGAAGGUUUUCGGAUCGUAAAGCUCUGUUGUUGGUGAAGAAGGAUAGAGGUAGUAACUGGCCUUUAUUUGACGGUAAUCAACCAGAAAGUCACGGCUAACUACGUGCCAGCAGCCGCGGUAACACGUAGGUGGCAAGCGUUGUCCGGAUUUAUUGGGCGUAAAGCGAGCGCAGGCGGAAAAAUAAGUCUAAUGUGAAAGCCCCUCGGCUUAACCGAGGAACUGCAUCGGAAACUGUUUUUCUUGAGUGCAGAACAGGAGAGUGGAACUCCAUGUGUAGCG